rnacentral:rRNA from 1 species
CAGCAGCCGCGGUAAUACGAAGGGUGCAAGCGUUACUCGGAAUUACUGGGCGUAAAGCGUGCGUAGGUGGUGGUUUAAGUCCGUUGUGAAAGCCCUGGGCUCAACCUGGGAAUUGCAGUGGACACUGGGUCACUAGAGUGUGGUAGAGGAUAGUGGAAUUUCCGGUGUAGCAGUGAAAUGCGUAGAGAUCGGAAGGAACAUCUGUGGCGAAGGCGACUAUCUGGGCCAACACUGACACUGAGGCACGAAAGCGUGGGGAGCAAACAGGAUUAGAUACCCCAGUAGUCCCUGUCUCUUAUAC